AUUGAACGCUGGCGGCAUGCCUUACACAUGCAAGUCGAACGGCAGCACGGGUGCUUGCACCUGGUGGCGAGUGGCGAACGGGUGAGUAAUACAUCGGAACGUACCUUAUCGUGGGGGAUAACGCAGCGGAAGCUGUGCUAAUACCGCAUACGCCCUGAGGGGGAAAGCGGGGGAUCGAAAGACCUCGCGCGAUUAGAGCGGCCGAUGCCUGAUUAGAUUGUUGGUGGGGUAAAAGCCCACCAAGGCGACGAUCAGUAGCUGGUCUGAGAGGACGGUCAGCCCCACUGGGAAUGAGACAGGGCCCAGGAGCCUACGGGAGGCAACAGUGGGGAAUUUUGGACAAUGGGGGCAACCCUGAUCCAGCAAUGCCGCGUGAGUGAAGAAGGCCUUCGGGUUGUAAAGCUCUUUUGUCAGGGAAGAAACACCGGCUCUAACACAGUCCGGGAAUGACGGUACCUGAAGAAUAAGCACCGGCUAACUACGUGCCAGCAGCCGCAGUAA
rnacentral:rRNA from 1 species